AAAUGCCUGGGAGCGGUAGAGGAGCAUCGUGCAUCGGCUGAAGGUAUACCGAAAGGAGAACUGGACGGUGCAGGAGAGAGAAUGCCGGUAUGAGUAACGAGAUGCAAGCGAGAAACUUGCACGUCGAAAGCCCAAGGUUUCCUGGGGAAGGUUCAUCCGCCCAGGGUAAGUCGGGGCCUAAGCCGAGGACGAUGGUCGUAGGCGAUGGACAACAGGUUGAUAUUCCUGUACCACCUAUAUGAGUGACGCACUGACACAGAAGGAUAGCGUGAGCCGGUUGAUGGUAGAGCCGGUCCAAGCGCGCAGGGUGCGGCGUAGUGAAGUACGCGCCGCUUAAGCCCGAAGCGUGACGGGGAGCGAAAUCAGAGUAGCGAAGCAUGUGAAUCCAGGCUGGCAAGAAAAGGUGCUAACAAUUGUAUGGGUGCCCGUACCGCAAACCGACGCAGGUGGGCGAGGAGAGAAUCCUAAGACGAACGGGAGAACCCUUGUUAAGGAACUCGGCAAAAUGACCCCGUAACUUCGGGAGAAGGGGUGCCUCGAAAGAGGCCGCAGAGAAUAGGCCCAAGCGACUGUUUAGCAAAAACACAGGUGUUUGCGAAAGCGAGAGCUGACGUAUAAGCGCUGACGCCUGCCCGGUGCUGGAAGGUUAAGAGGAGUUGUCAUCGCAAGAGAAGCAGCGAAUUGAAGCCCCAGUAAACGGCGGCCGUAACAAUAACGGUCCUAAGGUAGCGAAAUUCCUUGUCGGGUAAGUUCCGACCCGCACGAAUGGCGUAACGACUUGGGCGCUGUCUCAACAAGGGACCCGGUGAAAUUGAAGUAUGGGUGAAGAUGCCCAUUACCCGCGACUGGACGGAAAGACCCCGUAGAGCUUUACUGUAGCUUAUCAUUGGAUUUUGGCAACGGAUGCACAGGAUAGGUGGGACGCAGGGAAGUGAGUGCUUCGGCAUUCAUGGAGCGGCCGUUGGGAUACCACUCUUCUGUUGCUGAAAUUCUAACAACGUGCGGUGAUCCCGGCGAUGGACAGCGAUAGGUGGGCAGUUUGACUGGGGCGGCCGCCUCCCAAAGAGUAACGGAGGCGCCCAAAGGUUCCCUCAGAAUGGAUGGAAACCAUUCGAAGAGUGCAAUGGCAGAAGGGAGCCUGACUGCGAGACGGACAGGUCGAGCAGAGACGAAAGUCGGGCAUAGUGAUCCGGCGGUUUUGAGUGGAAAAGCCGUCGCUCAACGGAUAAAAGCUACCUCGGGGAUAACAGGCUGAUCUCCCCCAAGAGUCCACAUCGACGGGGAGGUUUGGCACCUCGAUGUCGGCUCGUCGCAUCCUGGGGCUGAAGCAGGUCCCAAGGGUUUGGCUGUUCGCCAAUUAAAGCGGCACGCGAGCUGGGUUCAGAACGUCGUGAGACAGUUCGGUCCCUAUCCAUCGUGGGCGCAGGAAUCAUGACGGGAGCUGUCCCUAGUACGAGAGGACCGGGAUGGACGCACCUCUGGUGCAACAGUUGUCGUGCCAACGGCAUAGCUGGGUAGCGAAGUGCGGACGGGAUAAACGCUGAAGGCAUCUAAGCGUGAAGCCCCCCUGAAGAAGAAGAUUCCCACUGCUUAGAGCAGGUAAGACCCCUUGAAGACGACAAGGUUGAUAGGUCGGCGGUGAAAGCAUGGUAACACGUGUAGCUUGCCGGUACUAAUCGGUCGAGGGCUUG
rnacentral:rRNA from 1 species